AGCACUUAAUCAGAAUUUUGCUUUAAAGGAUUAUAAUACUAACUUUUGGAAGGGAUUUUUUUUUCAAAAAUAAUUUUUCUGCUAUUAUUGUUAAAUUAUUUAUUUAUAUUUUAAAUUUAAGAAAUUAGUACUAUAGGUUUCACUUAUAUAGAAUAUUACACACAGUUUACAAUCAUUUUAAAAAUCUUAUUAGUCAUUCAAUUUAUCAGAUAAUUAUCACAUAAACAACUUUUCAUAUAAACAAAAUAUUUCAAAAUAAACACUACAGAGAUAAGUUAGUAUCAAACAUACUGUUAAGAUUAUUUUCAGAUUGAGUGUCUGACCACUGGCUAGAGCACGAACAUCGACAAUUCCCACCUGAACUAGACGUAGCUUCAAUUAGUUCAUUUUCCUGCACAGAUUUGUUUGCUCUAGUGUCUAACAACAUUACAUUCAUGGUCUCUUCUAAUAUGCGCGUUUCGGGGAAGUCAACCUAAAAUGUUUACCACUCUGUUUUAGAUGUGUACUAUAAUUUUAAAAUAUUUAAUGUAACAUAUGAAUUACCUUUGUAUGUUUUUUAUCCGUAGCAUAUACUAUUGACGUGCAACAUACUUCUGCAACUUUCUUUACCGCUCCUCCAGGUCCAUAAAAUGUCCAGCAGCAUAUUUCAUUAGAUCCAAUGACGUCUUUAAUGAAAAGACCGCGUUCUCUGUGCUUUUCCGCAAGUUUGUCAAAGAGCUCGAUGUUUUUUAAUAAGUUAUCAUCGGAUGCACUGUUUCAUUUUAUUUCACUUAAGUUAACUAGAUUAUAAAUAAUUGUUAAAAAUUAAUAACAGAUACAUACCCAGUAUACGAAUACUUAUUGUUAUGGCGGUUGAUUGCGAAUUUCACCACCGGCUAGAAAUAAGAUUAAAUACCUAAGUAACCUUAUGUAAAAUAUACUUAGAAAUAAAAUAUUUAAAAAAAAAUACCUUUGAACUGAUGGAGAUUAAUUUUUGGGCUUCAUUUUGUGACGUUAUUAAUGUAAUCCACGUUAUGUUUGUAUUCCUAUUUCUUUUUUUCUGCAGCGCCUGCUCACAGGCUUCCGAUAGUUCAAUGACACCGUAGUACUUUGCUUCUGACAAUAUUUCUGAUAUCUCUACACAGGACGCUGGCAGCGGGACGGAACCAUCUCGUAAAAAAUUCAAAAUUGUACCGAAAUGUUUGCCACAGCGGUCAAUAAAAAUCCAUCCUGAUUGUGAUUUGGUAAUAUUUACAGUUUCCGUCAAUACGAGUUCUCGGAGCUUGGAAUCUAGUUUAGUGAGUGUCGUUACAGUUGUGUAGAACAGUGAUCCGCCAAUAUUCAACUUGACGUAAUUAGACACCUCCUGUUUCGUUUCGUUCACCGGACCCAUCGGAAGAGAAAUCCCGAUGAAGCCAGAAGAACACCAAAGUCAAUAAACUAUUGCUUAAAAACCAAUUAAUUAUAAUAGAAUGGGUGACCAGACCAACAUCAAAAGUUGAGAAUCUUUCGCUAUAAUAUUUAGGACAAAAACUAAAUUGGUUAACACACCAACUACUAUACGACCAAGUUACACAAUUACACUGUUUACAACUUGGAUAUGAGUUUAAAACC